GACGAACGCUGGCGGCGUGCUUAACACAUGCAAGUCGAACGGAAAGGCCCUGCUUUUGUGGGGUGCUCGAGUGGCGAACGGGUGAGUAACACGUGAGUAACCUGCCCUUGACUUUGGGAUAACUUCAGGAAACUGGGGCUAAUACCGGAUAGGAGCUCCUGCUGCAUGGUGGGGGUUGGAAAGUUUCGGCGGUUGGGGAUGGACUCGCGGCUUAUCAGCUUGUUGGUGGGGUAGUGGCUUACCAAGGCUUUGACGGGUAGCCGGCCUGAGAGGGUGACCGGCCACAUUGGGACUGAGAUACGGCCCAGACUCCUACGGGAGGCAGCGGUGGGAAAUAUUGCACAGUGGGCGGAAGCCUGAUGCAGCAGCGCCGCGUGCGGGAUGACGGCCUUCGGGUUGUAAACCGCUUUCGCCUGUGACGAAGCGUGAGUGACGGUAAUGGAUAAAGAAGCACCGGCUAACUACGUG
rnacentral:rRNA from 1 species